UGCCUUAGCUGGGGAUUAGGACAGGUUUCCUAAGCUUGGAGGGGGACAGUGGGCAGCAGCAGAGGAGUCUGGCCCCUCAGUGAUGGUUUUGGAGGCUGAUAGGGAGCAGUAAAGGAGAGCAGGUUUCUGACAGCUCUCCAAGCAGCAGCAGAAGUUGUACUACAAAGAGGGAAUAACCAAGGCUCACUUCCUUCUGGAUCUGUGUCCCAAGAGACAACCAAACUGUGGCAAACUGAAGUGUGGGAAUGCUGAAGGAGAGGUGCAAGGCAAGGGGAAGUACCAGGAGAGCAUCUAUGGCUGCUACCUGCUGCACAGCAGAACUGCAAAAGCAGCCUGACCUUUGGGACAGGUGGCGACUGCCCAA